UUGAAACACUUGUUCUCGUACAAUGACUGAAGUUAAGCAACAUUGAACCAUGUCAGUACUUAGAUGGGUGAUAGCUUGGGAAUACCAGGUGCUGUAAG